UGUGGCCUGCAAAGGAAGGUAAGUAGGUGG
rnacentral:piRNA from 1 species